UUUCUUCGGGUACUCCGGCUUCCUCCCACAGUCCAAAAAUAUGCUGAGGUUAAUUGAUCACUCUAAAUUGCCCGUAGGUGUGAAUGUGAGUGUGAUUGUUUGUCUGUAUAUGUAGCCCUGUGACAGACUGGUGACCUGUCCAGGGUGUCCCCUGCCUUCACCCGAGUCAGCUGGGAUAGGCUCCAGCACCCCCCAUGACCCUAGUGAGGAUAAAGCGGUGUAUAGAGAAUGGAUGGAUGUUUUCCAUCAGUCAGUUUGUCCUCUUGGUCAGCAGUAACAGCUAGCUAAAUAUCUAGCUUCUACUGCUGAGAAAAAGAUCACAUUAGCAUGGAUUAGCAACCCUGUUACUGUGAUUAGAGUAGGGUUAGCAAACAACACAGAAAACAUGGAAUAAAAAUGCUACCAUUGAUGUGUAAGCUGAGCCAAUCAAGACUUUGAUAGUUUAUUACCUAUUAUUGAUGAAUAUGGAGCAGAAAAUUGUAAAAGAGAAGGUUUAUUUUUCAAACAUUUUGAAGCCCAAAUGUCCUCCAGUCCUGAAUGACCCACAAGUUGCUGCAUGGUGGCUCUGUUGUCAUGGAGACUCAUAAGUGUAGAUGGAGAAGACUCGCCGCCUCCCUCCAAAACAACACACACCCCUCCGGUCAUAGCGACAGAAACACACACUGGGUUGUUGAUGGGGACGACAUCACGGCUACAGGCGAAAAUAUCACCACGUCUCCAGCGUCACACACAUCCAGUAAUAACCUCGCUCAUCGCCUCAUCUCCGGCUGAAUGACAAUGAAGGAGCAAGCCGGGAUUUGUUUUAAAGCGAGGCCACUCAUUUAAUGAAGCCGUUUUAAUUCUUCCCUGUUUGUUCUCCCACAUGAUUACCGAGAGGCCAGGGUGGCAUCCACAAGUGCACCUCAUUUACAUCAGCAACGCACGGAGAGGUGUGACUCCAGCAAAUAAAAACCGGCUCCCAGAAUGAGAAAUAACUCAACAAAGAGCCAAUUAGCAGCAGUGCAUGUUUACAGUAAGCGUCCCAGCUGGUGGCAGAUUGGUGCAUGUGGGGAGUCAGCUGUUUUUCCUGGGGGUCAGCGGAGAGGAGGCGUCAGUUUAUGGUCACUUUGUCAUUCUCACCAUGCUCCACAAGUCUGUAAUUAAAACAGAACAACCGAGAAGCCAUGCGGGGGCACUAAUUAGCCAGCAGGCCCCAAUUUCCUCCUCCAUCACUGUGUCCUCCUCCUCCACUUCAUGAGCACUCUCGCUUUUUUUCUUCUCUCUUUAUUGGUUUAACUCCUCGGUCUCAUCCUUCUUCUCCUGCGUCACGGCUUCCUCUGCUGUUACUCUACUUUUUAAAUUAACCCUCUGUCACCAGGCAUGGAUGAAGAAAAUGGAGUUUUUCCACCAAAGAUUCACAACUUUACAUGCAGAAAUGAACAAAACAUCAGUUCUUUAAGUCAUUUUUUCCCAUAAACUGUCUCCAACCAGCUUCUCAAAUGUGAAUAUUUUCAUUAAAGUCUGGGAGUUUCUGACUGAUGGUCAGAUAAAAUCAAUAAAUGUGUUAAUUUACCCCUCUGUUAACUAGGGUUAAUUCAACUCCAGGAAAACAAAAACAACAGUUUUCCCACUAGUUAUCCUGAACUUCACAUGUUGAAAUGACCAAAACAUCAAUUAUUUAAGUUUUUUUUUCCAGAAACAGUUUCUCAGUUGUCCAGUUUGAUUCUAAAAUCUAAAUUUUCCGAUUAAAGUUUGAGAGUUUUUGACUGAUGGUCAGACAAAAUUGAUAAAUUUGUAUUUUAACCCUCUGUUAUCAGGACUGGUUAAGCUGCAGGCAAAAAAAAAUGCAGCUUUUCCACUAAAGAGCCACAACUUUGCAUGAAAUGACCAAAACAUCAAUUAUUUAACUCAUGUUGUUCCAAGAACAGUUACUCAGUUGGUCAGUUUUAUAGGAAAAUCAAAUUAUACGAUUAUAGUUUGGGAGUUUUCGUACUGAUGGUGAGAUAAAAUUAGUAAAUGUGUUAAUUUAACCCUCUGUUAGCAGGGCUGGAUUAAGCUCCAGGCUUUAAAAAGACAUUUUUCCACUAAAGAUUCAUAAUUUUACAUGUUGAAAUUACCAAAACAUCAAUUCUUUCAGUCUUUUUUUCCAUAAACUGUCUUGAAGUAGCUUCUCAGAUGUGAAUAUUUCCAUUAAAGUUUGUGAGUUUUUAACUGAUGCUCAGAUAAAAUUAGUAGGUCUGUUAAUUUAAUCCUCUGAUACCAGGAUGGGAUUAAGCUCAAAGCAAAAAUGCAGUUUUUCCACUAUCGAUCCAUAAUUUUUCAUGUUGAAAUGACUAAAACAUCAAUUCUUUAAACCAUUUCUUCCAGAAACAGUUUCUCAGUUUGAUUCUAAAAUCAAACUUAAUGUGCUAAUUUAGCUUCAAUGAGUAACGGCGGCCAUAUUUCACUAUGAUCUGACAUUUUAUGCACUGAAUCUAUUAUUAAAGAGUGCAGCAGUCAGAUGUGUUGACACUGGGAGUAAUCGUGGUUUGAUGUGACCUUCCUCGAGGCUUUUCUGUCUCAAUUAUAUGACAAUUUCAGCCAUUUGACGAAACACAACCUGAAAACAAACGAGCUCGCCGUCGAUUCAGACGGUUCAGGUCUCUGAGGAUUGGGCCCCUGAGGGUUUGGGUUCUGUUGUCUGGAUGUUAAUCCACCGUUCAUGCCGCCGUCCAAACCCCGGCUCUGACACAAAGAGGUUGAAAUGAGAGAAAACACGCUGGAAAUGAACCGUGUGAAGCUUUACUGCCAAGACUGGAGACAGAAAUGAUGAAAUGUUGUUUAUUAAUGUCAAACAAAUGUGUUCUCUCCAAAGAGAUGAUGUGUUAAUUAGAGGAGCCGUUAUUUGGGCAGCUGUUGCAAAGAAAACACAUUUAAACUACAGACAGGAAAGUGGCAUCAAUAUUUACAGCUAAAUAUUUCAGAGAAUAACAGGAAAUAAGAUAAUACUAAAACACAGAUUCAGACUUCCAGGUUCAUACAUGACAAAACUAAGGUAUCCAUCAAUAAAAUUUUCCAAUUAGAGUAGUUUUAUAUUGUUUAAACAUUUUUAAAAGCAAGUUUUUCACAGUUAUUAAUUGUAUUUUCUUAAACAAUUAACUUUUAAUUUGCAAAUUGCCUCCAUUUUUGUUAAUUUAAAGAUAAUAAUCACUAAAUAAUGAGAGAACAAAGGUACUAAUUUACAUGACAACCCUAAAAAAACUGGCCAAAAAUAAUAAUUAGCAUAUUUUGCAAUGUGAGACUGCAAAAUCACAUUGUAUUUAAAUGUAUGUUUUAUUAUUAGAACAUGUUCAUUCUACAGACAUUUUCAGGAUUUUGCUCUUUUUAACAGUUUUUCAGCAUUACAGUCUAACACCCGUUUCUAUGAUUUUUUUUCUGUCACACUAAUUAUGAAUAAUAUUAUUUAUUAUUAUAUUUUAGCUCUAAUUAUUUUUUAGUAAUAUAGUGAUUCAACUGAUAAUUGCAGGUUUUUUCUAUCAUAAUAAUAAUGAGUUAUAUUUAUAAUAUUGUAUAUUAUUAGUAUUAUUAUAUAUUAUUGUAUUAUAAUUGCAGAUAUUUGCUGUUUUUUCUUCCUUUGCUUUUCUUGUUUUUGCAGUUUUUAAACAUUAUAGUAUAACACCAUUUUGGAUGAGUUUUUUCAGCACGCUUGCUUUAUUUUCACAUUUAUUUUUUAACAGGAUGAGCUGGUGUUCUCGAGAGAAAGAUGUGAGGACUUCACAGAUGUGCACAUUCUACAUUGACAUUUGAACCAUUUUAAGGCAUGAAUUUUCAUGAAAAGGUUCAAAAUAUGCAGAAGAAACGAGUUUAAGGGGGUUUUGAAGGAAAACUUACCUUCCUUAUUUCUUUCUGUUGUUUUGAUGACCAAAAAAGGAAAACCAUAAAGAAUAGAAAUCCUAAUCAGUCAUGGAAAUUUAACCCCUAAAAGUGCACAAAUGCUAACACCAGAUGUUCCUGAUGUUUUAAACAGUGGUGUCAAACAUGUGGUCAGCGGGCCGAAAUCGGCCCUCCAGAGGGUCCAAUCCGGCCCAGUUUGUAAAGUGUAAAAAUUACAGAAGACAUUAACUGCAGAUUGUAAAUUAGUAAAACUAUAAAUUGAAAAUAAAUUCUAGACCAUGACAAGUUGUUUUGAUCAUGAAGUAAAAUACUAGAUUGUUCAUUGUUCUUUUGUCAUUUUGUGUCUCAUUUUUGUAACAUUUUGUCUUGUUUUUGUUGUUUUUUGUCUUUUUUGUCUGACUUUUAACUUUAUCUUACGCUUUUUUAGCUUUGUUUUGUCAUUUUGCGUUUCCUUUUUGUCUCGCUUGUGUAUUUUGUCAUAUUUUUGUUAUUUUGUGUUUUGCUUUAUUAAUUGUUUUGUGUGUCGCCGUUGUCAUUUUUUUGUUUUGUUUUUGUCAUUUGUCUUCUUUUGUCGCUUUGUAACUUCUUUGUCUAAUUUUUUGUCUCUUUCUUGUUUUAUUUCGUGUCGUUUGUCUCAUUUUUUGUCUUCUUGUUUCUUGCUUUUGUCAUUUGUGUCUCAUUUUUGUAAUAUUUUGUCUUGUUUUUGUUGUUUUUUGUCUUUUUUUGUCUGACGUCUGUCAUUUUUAUCCUAUAGUAAAAUACGAUGUCCUUCAGUUCCAGAUAGCUGUGACUAAAUGUUGUGUUACUUUGUAGACACUCUGAUCUAUAAGUUGUAAUGUGUAAAUGAUAAACUGAGGCAUGAUGUUGCUGAAACUGAAUUUAUUUUUCUUCAGAAAUUUCAGUUUGUUCAUGAUGUUUUGUAAAAGGAUAUUUCCUUAAAUGUUAACAUUUUCAGCAUGUGCUUUUUGCACUAAAACAAAGGGAAAUGUUUGGAGUUGUGGUUAUUUAUAGGUCAUUAUGCUGUGAUUUUACACUUGAGAUCAAACUGGGCUGAAUGUGGCCCUGAACUAGAAUGAGUUUGACCCUCCUGCUUUGAGACAGUAUCAGGUUUCACUCAGGUAAAAUAUGUAAAAGAGCACUAACGGGCUGAAAAGCUUUAGAUCUUUAGCACCAUGUUGGGAAUCUAUUAAACAUGUACAUUUUUAACAGGCUUCUCAACAGACUACAUGUUGUUUUUCUCCCAACAACUCGUGCACAUUGGAGCUGCGUUUGAAGAAACUGCAGCCUGGUGACAAUUUAAUUAACCAACUGUCAGUCAUAUCAACGCUGAAUCACUGAUGUCUGCGCCAAAUUGCUUUUCUUUCAUCCUCACUUGGAUUGGAAAAAAAUAAAAAAUAAAAUCGGAGGGGCUCUUUGAUUACACAGAUGCUUUUAUACUCCAUCCUGGCAUUCCCGGCUUCCAAAGUAAUAAAUGUAUGCAAGUGUGUGUGUGUGUGUGGAUUUGAUAUGAAGUCUAGAACCGGUGCUCCCUCUGCUCACAGCUUUAUAAAACUAAUCACGGUGUUCUCCCUCGUCGCUCAGAUGGAAAAGAAACCAGAUGAAAGUAAAAGCAAAGUGGAACAGGGUGCUGCGACUCCUGUUUUCCUGUUGUGCCGUUUUGUGAAAACAAACGGUGCAGCCGGAGUGAAACACCGUAUUCACGUCACUUCUGAUUGGUUUAGUCAUCAAUCUAUUUGCAGGGCUGCUGAAGUGUGAAAACGGAGAAGUGAGGAAGCUUAACACCAUUAAAUACUCUACUCCAAGUGGUGGCUCGAUCAGUUGAAUGCUAUUGGUGCCUUCCCGCCGAGGCCUGCGCUCUGAUUGGUUGAGCUGCGCUUAUUCAAAAAUAACGACGACGUGCAUCACGCUGUUGCCAGAAGCUCCACAACUGCCACGUGUUUGCCGUCUCAUAUUUUAUGGCCAUCAAGACACAAUGAAUAUCUCAGAAAUGUCCUCCAGAGAUUGUUUAUGUAAAUGAGCUUAUUAAAGACUAACAUGGGUUGCCAUGGCGAGGAGGCCGACGCUCAGCAUGGGGCUUUUUGCGGCUCCAGUCGGGAUGAACUGCGGUUUUAUCUGCUCUGACAUCAACUGCAUUUGGUAGCACAUUAUAAGUAUAAAAGAAGAAGUGUAAAAUUAGGUUAUGGACGGAUACGAAUCACGUGACCUAAAUAUGUAGCGGGUGGCGGGAAUUGAUGGGACUCAGAACACCCAACAAUUUAAUCAGUUUUUCCUUGGAUCAUUUCCUGAUAAGUCCUCAGCAGUGGAUUUGUAGUAGGAUCACAAUCAUGUGAUCAUCAGCAGGCAGCUGAAGUAGUGUUCACUUGAACUAAACAUUACUCAAAAGCAUGUCUAAAAUGACUAAAGAAUAUCCAAAAUAUCGUAACACUAUCCAGAAUUAUUAAAAUGCAUCCAAAGUGAUUUCAGACUUGACUACUCAGAUUACGACAUGACUGAAGAUUGUCCAAAAUAACCCGAAAUCUGUCCAAAAUCACCCCAAAAUGGUCAAAAUGGCUCAAAUAAUGUGCAAAAUAACUUGAAAAAUGUCCUAAAAGACAUAAAAAUUGUAAAAUGACCAAGGACACAAAGAUGUCCAAAAUUGAUGCAAAAAAAUGAUUCAGAAUUGGCCUAAAAUUAUUACAAACUUGUCCAAAAUGACAAGAAAUGUGUCCUAAAUGAUUAAAUAAUUGCCAAAAUGACUCAAAAUAGUCCAAAAAUGAUGACAGUUGCAGUGACACCGUGCUGCUAUCGCACAGUGAUGCAGAAAUCUUUAACAAAUCCAUGGAUCCAGACUAUGAGCUGCAUCACUGCCAAAAUCUAACCAGGUGGUCGUUGUAUCAUUUCUGACCUUCCCUGAAAAUUUCAUCCAAAUCCAUUAGUUUGUUUUUGAGUGAUGUUGCACACAGAUAGACAGACAGAAAAACAUACGAUGAUCGUCACAUAACUCUGCCGUUCCUUGGUAGAGUAAUAAAAGCCACGUUCACGGGAAGAAAUCCAUGAAUGAAAUGAAUGAAUAGUAAGUGUCUGAAUGAAAUAAGUGUAUAAACUUACAUUUUCACUAAUAAUUGUUUAUUACCAUACAAGAAAAGUGCUGCUUUUUUCUAUUUUCAUGCCUUGGACAUGUUGUUUUGAGCACAAGCUUCAUGUAAAAUGUCAUUUAUAGCAAGAAAGUGCAUAUUUAGGCUUCUCAUUUCAAUAUGAAUCCACUGGAACUAGUAAAAAGUCAGUUAAAUAACUAGAGACGUGUGAAUGAAUGAAUAACAUGUGUCAACUUAUAUUUUCCUUAUUAAUUCUACACCACACUACAAGAAUAGUGCUGUUUUUUUCUGUUGUCAUGCCUUGGAUAUGUUGUUUUGGGCACAACAUUUUAGCACAAUGUCAUAUAAUGUGCUAAAAGAUUGUACCCACAUUUCUCAUAUUGUAGUGCAAAACUAGUAGGAAAAUUUUAGGUUCAGACACUUAUUAUUCAUUUAUACUUACAAUCAUGAACAUGGCUAUUAAAAAAAAUCACACAAAAACACACCUUUUACCAUCAGUUUUGACACAAUAUUCCUGUUUUCUGGUCCAGUCUCAGACUCUUCAGCCUGUCUGACGCCUUUCUGCUGUCCCUGUAUGUGUGUGUGUGUGUGUAUGUGUGUGUGUGUAUGUGUGUGUGCGUGCACAUGUGAGUGUGUGUAAGAAAUAGAAGAUAAUAUUGCAGCUGAUUGGAAAUCUGAUUAUAAGUUGAUGCCUUGAGGCUGGUGAUUUAUGAGUGACAGUUAUCAGUUCGAUGUCUAUGUUUGGGGUGUGCACGUGCAUGUGUGUUUGUUUUUGUGUGUGUUUGUGUGUGUCUGGAUACUGACUGGGAGGAGGGAGUGAGCGGAGAUUAAAGAAGGGAAUCAGGUACAAGGAAAUGAAACAACAAAAGCCCAGAGAGCGGAGGAACGAAGGGGAUGGAGAAAAGAUGGGAGUUUAAAGAGGAGAAGAAUCAGGAAGUGGUGAAACGAGGCCAGGUUUAGUGAACGAGCUCAUCAAGAAAUGAGGGAGACGUGACGUGUUGUGACAGGCUGAGGGCUGAUCCUACAGUGCUGCUCACAUUACAUGGGAAAUGAUGGGUUCUCUGGCCCGACUGAAGCCGCAAAAGCCCCAUGCUGAGCGUCUCCGCCUCCUCGCCAUGGCAACCCGUGUUAGUCUUUAAUAAGCUCAUUUACAUAAACAAUCUCUGGAGGACGCUUUUGACAUUUUCAUUGUGUUUUGAUAGCCGUAAAAUAUGAGACGGCAAUUCCCCGACACGCCCACGCCCCCUCAGCGGAUCCGUGUGGAACUCCCGGCAACAGCGUCAUGCACGUUGUCCUUAUUUUUCAAUUAACACAGCUCAGCCAAUCAGAGCACAGGUCUCGGCGGAGCAUUUCCUGCAUGAUUUCGGCAGCCAUGUUUAGCUAUUUAGCUGAUUCUUUACCACUUCCAGUGGACUCAUGUUGAAAUGGGAACCUUAAAUAUGCACUUUAAUGCUGUAUUUGACAUUUUGCUAAAAUGCUGUGCCCAAAACAACACGUCCAAGGCAUGAAAAUAGAGGAAAACAGCACUUUUCUUCUGUUGUAGUGCAGAAUUAGUUGGAAAAAUGUAAGUUUAGACAUUUAUUAUUCAUUCAGAAAACAGCUGAAUUGUUGAACACAGCAGAACAUUUACUACAUCUUUAGAUUUAACCAACUUAGUAAGUUAUACAGUGAUUUCACAGAAAGAUUUUUUAUUUCUACCAAGAGUUUAGUUUAGUUUAGAGUCUAUUUAGUUGUUUUUUUUUACUGCUCCUGGUUGUUUCGUGUUAAAAAUGACAAGCUUACAUAUGCAUUUAAUUACUAUGUAUGACAUUUUACCUGAAGCUUGUACCUAAAACAACAUAUUCAACGCCUGUAGAGCUAGUGGGAAAAAUGUAAGUUUAGACACCUGAAAACAGCAGAACAUUUACAACAUCUUUAGAUUUAACCAACUUAGUACAUUAUACAGCGAUUUCACAGAAAGAUUUUUCAUUUAUAACUAGUGAUUUAGCUGAUUUUUACUGGUCCUGGUGGUUUUGUGUUAAAAUGAAAAGCUUACAUAUGCAUUUAAUUGCUAUAUAUGACAUAUUACCUGAAAGUUGUGCCUAAAACAACAUGUCCAAGGCAUGAAAAUAGAAAAAAACAGUACUUUUCUUUUAUUGCCGUGCAGAAUUAAUUGGAAAAAUGUAAGUUUAGACACUUAUUAUUCAUUCAUUAACACUUCCACUCAUGGACAUGUUGAACUUAUUUCCACUCUUGUACUUAUUUCAAAACAAAAUCUGCAUAAAACAAGAUGUCCAAUGCAUGAAAAUAGAAAACGCAGCACUUUUCUUGUACUCUGGUGCAGAAUUAGUAGGAAACACAUCAGAUCAUUCAUUCCAUAAUGUGUCUUUUUUAACAUUUGGAUUUUCUAUCAUGAAAGUGGCUUUUAUUUAAAAAGUCUGUAACCUCUCAGCUCGGUUUCGUUAAUGUUACACUCCUACUUUUAUACCUAAAAUGUGCUCACAAAUGCAGCUGAUGUCAGAGCAGAUAAAAACCACAGUUUAAUUUAAUUUGGGGAUUGGAAAGAUUAAAAAGUCUUCCUUCUAAACCUCUUAAAAAUCAUUUAUCUCUCUCACUCACUGAAUUCUAGAAAAUCAAACAGUUGCUCCGCUGCGAUUCUAAACACCCCCCUUCAGCAGAAUACAGACUCCAUUUCCCAGGUGUCCAGAGGUGAGCCGCCAUGCCACCGUCGUCUGUGGCUGCAGCUUUUAAGGGCGCUGGCUUCCAUUAACUGGGUCUGCUGCUUAAUAAGGGACAUCAAAUUAAUUAGUGUCAAAUCAGUGGGUGGAAAUGGAGCACAAGUUUCUGUGUCUAGUCACUGAUGGAAAAAAAGGAGCUUUGGACUAUUUUAAGCAGCGAUGUGAGACUUUGUGCCUCGUGCAAAAAAAGAAGAAGAAAAAAACACAUGUGACACACGUGAUUAAUAUACAGACACUUUUGCUGUUCUGUUAAUUGCUGUAAACACCAAAUGAUGCUGCAGCAACAAAGCUCGGAGCAGAUUUUAUACGCGUGUGUUUAUGUGUUUCUAUGAAGCGUCUGACUGAUUUUUACACAAAAACACAGCUUUUACCAUCAAAUAUGUACUUUAUUGCUAUAAACGACAGAAAGCUGUGCAUGGAGCAACAUGUCCAAGGCACGGAAAUGGACAAAAGCAACACUUUGCUUGUAUUGUAGUGCAGAAUGUUUAGGGAAAACAUCAGUUUAGACACUUAUUUCAUUCAGACACUUGUUAUUCAUUCAUAUCAUACUUGGAUUUCCUAUCAUGAACACAAAAAUCUGUAAUCUCUCAUAUGAAUUCAUUAAUAUGUUAUAUCUUGUAUGCCAUGUUGAGUGGGUUGUAGAAACUCUCUGUGAUGCAGCUUUUACAGUGAAGACAGCGGAACAUUUGCCACGUGGAGAGAUUGCAGUUUUUUUUAAUAAGAGCCAUGUUCAUGAUUAGAAGUAUGAAUGAAUGAAUAAUAAGUGUCUAAACUUACAUUUUCUAAUGAAUUCCACAUCGCAAUACAAGAAUUUUUUUUUUUUUCUAUUUUCAUUCCUUGUACAUUUUGCUUUAGGCACAAUUUUUCAGCAAAAUGUCAUAUAAAGUGCAUAUAUAAGUUUCUAAUUUUAACAUGAGGCCACUGGAACUGGUAAAAAUCAGCUAAAUAUGUCAUCUUAAAGCAACUCAUGGAGCCAAAGUUGAUUAAAUAGCUAUAUUUGGCUGCUACAGUCUGGACAGAAAUCCAAAGAUCCUCCUGUGAAAUGGCUGUAUAAUUUACUAAGUUGGUUAAAUGUAAAGAUGUGGUAAAUGUUCUGCUGUUUUCAUGUAAAAGCUGCAUCACAGAGAGUUUCUAUGAUCCCCUCAACAUGGCCAACAUAACACAACACAAAUGCUGUCUUUUUUUCUAUUUUCAUACCUUGGUCUUGUUGUUUUUGGCACAGUCUUUUAGAAUAAUGUAAUUUAUAGAGAUAAAGUGCAUAUUUAAGCUUCGAAUUUUAAAAUGAUGCCACUAGAACUGGUAUGAAGUCAGCUAAAUGGCUUUAUACCGGUGUUGGAAAUCAAAAAUCUUUCUGUGAAAUGACUGUGUAAUUUACUAAGUUGGCUAAAUGUAAAGAUGUGGUAAAUGUUCUGCUGUUUUCACUGUAAAAUCUGCAUCACAGAGACUUUCUACAAUCCACUCAACAUGGCACAUGUGAACCCACACUGCACAAUCUGUAGAUUAUGUUAUCAUCAUGUUAAAAUAUGCAAAUUAUUCCCUAGUGCAGCCCACCUUUAUUACUUUGUGCUGAAUGAGUGUUUGCAGGAUGCUCGCAGCUGAAAUGAACACCCAGAGAGCUCCCAGCGUCAGCUCCACCAUCCAUUAACCCCACCUCUCACCCCUUUCUCUCUGUUGUUUAUCCUCCUGAUCAAUUACAGCGACAGGCCUCUCCGAGCUUCACCCUCGUCCUCCUCCUCUCACUUCGCCAUUAAAACCUUCCUUUUGUUGCUCAAAUAGACUUUUUGUUCCUUCCGGCGCUCAAUCAUUCACCUGAGCUGGAUUCGGAAACCCAUCUUAAUCACACCGCCGUUCAGUCCCACCAGUUCUCCUCUUCAAAUACCUGUGCACUGAGCCGUGAUCUCCAGUGGUUUUUUCUGGAUUCGCAGCAACAAUGGUUUAGGUCAGAGGUGGAAGUCUCGAUUAUCAAAGAGAGAUUGGAACCAGUUAAUCCAGGAAAAUAUGCAGCUUUUGCAGUUGAGGUUUACUGCACGAGAAGGGAAAAGAAUGCUGAUUAGAAAAGAGGCUGCAACAACAAUCUACAACAGGGGUGUCAAACUCAUUUAGCUCAGGGCCCACAUUCAGGUAAAUUUCAUCUCACGUGAUCAGUAAAAUCACAGCAUAAUAACCUAUAAAUAACCACAAGUCUAGAUGUUUCCUUUGUUUUAGUGCAAAAAAGUACAUUCUGAAAAUGUUCAAAAAAGACAAAAAACAACAAAAGGAGGACAAAAUGUUACAAAAAUGAGACACAAAAUGACAAAAAUGAGACAAACGACAUGAAACAAAACAAAAAGGGAUAAAAAAAUUAGACAAAAAAGUUACAAAGUGACAAAAACAUGAACACAAACGAGACAAAAAGUGACAAAAAAGAAACAAAACGACAGAAAAAUAGACAAAAACACAAGCAGGACAAAAAGGAAACAAAACAACAAAAACAUGAGACAAAUGACAAGUCAGACAAAAAAAGACAGGAAAGUAACAAAAAAAAACCCCAAAAUGACAAAAAAAUGAGACAAAGGACACCAAACAAAACAAAAAAGAGACAAGAAAUUUGAUUUAAAAAAGUUACAAAGGGACAAAAAAUGGACAAAUAAGGCAAAAAAAAAAAAGACAAAA